CUUGACUGUUGGCUAACGGCGCGUAGUUUCUGAAUCUAAUCUAAUUAAUUAUUUAUUUAUUAGUACUAAUACGUGUUAUUGAUAUAUCUUUUUUGGAGACUUUGAUUAUAUCAGCUCGAGAUUUUGAAUUUUAGAUGGUGAAGGAGGACAUGAGUCGCGGUGAAGGAGAAAUCAAGAAGACGACGGCGGUGGUGAAGAGAUCAUGGAGACGGUCUAUGUGGACGAUAGCAUUGGUCACGGCGUUGAUCCCUGUGUUGUUGGCUAUGGCAGUGAAAACAGAAGUUUCGACGGCGCUGACGCUAGCAUUGAAGACGGCUGUGACGUCCAGAGCUGCAUCUAAAUCUUUUCUGUUUAGUAACAAUGACAAGUCCUGUCAUUGUUCUUCUCAGGAAUCAGGGAAGUAUAGGGGCAUUGUUGAGGACUGCUGUUGUGAUUAUGAGACAGUAGACAGUGUUAAUGCAGAGGUUUUGCACCCUCUGCUACAAGAACUUGUUAAAACUCCCUUUUUCCGAUACUUUAAGGUUAAGUUGUGGUGUGAUUGCCCCUUUUGGCCUGAUGAUGGAAUGUGCCGGUUGCGUGAUUGCAGUGUCUGUGAAUGUCCAGAAAGUGAAUUUCCAGAACCAUUUAAGAAGCCAUUCCCUUCAGAUGAUGUGAUAUGUCAAGAGGGAAAGCCAGAGGCAGCUGUUGACCGCACGCUAGACAAUAGAGCCUUCAGAGGCUGGAUAGAAACAGAUAACCCAUGGACAAGUGAUGAUGAGACUGAUAAUGGUGAGAUGACAUAUGUAAAUCUUCUGCUAAACCCUGAACGUUACACUGGCUAUGCUGGUCCAUCAGCUAGGAGGAUAUGGGAUGCUAUUUAUACAGAGAAUUGUCCAAAAUAUUCGUCAGGAGAGAUAUGCCCGGAGAAAAAGGUUUUGUACAAAUUAAUAUCGGGUCUUCACUCUUCAAUUUCAAUCCACAUAGCUGCUGAUUAUCUUCUUGAUGAAGCUACCAAUCUGUGGGGUCAGAAUCUGGAGUUGAUGUAUGAUCGUGUUUUAAAAUAUCAGGAUCGUGUUAGAAACUUAUAUUUCGCAUUCCUUUUUGUUCUGCGUGCAGUGACUAAAGCUGCAGAUUACUUGGAGCAGGCUGAGUAUGAUACUGGUAACAAUAUAGAGGACCUGAAAACACAAUCUUUGAUGAAGCAGCUGCUUUACAAUCCCAAACUCCAAGCAGCAUGUCCUGUUCCAUUUGAUGAGGCUAAACUUUGGCAAGGUCAAAGUGGACCUGAACUGAAGUUACAGAUUCAAAAGCAAUUCAGGAACAUUAGUGCAUUGAUGGAUUGUGUUGGCUGUGAGAAGUGUAGACUUUGGGGAAAACUUCAGGUUCUUGGUCUUGGCACUGCAUUAAAGAUCCUCUUUUCUGUAGACGGUCAUAAUCAGAAAGCUCAACGUCUGCUGUUGCAACACAAUGAAGUGAUUGCUCUGGUAAACUUGCUCAAUCGACUCUCAGAAUCUGUCAAAAUUGUGCAUGAAAUGGGACCAUCAAUUGAGAGAUUAAUGGAAAAACAGACGGCUGACCCUUCUACACCAGAAUUUAACAUGUGGCGAAGAAUACGGGAGUCAGUGUUGCAGCUUUGGUAACAACUCUGCUUAACAGGCAUAUCCAUUUCAUUGUGAAGGGCGCCACCCUAACAAUUCUGAGAAGUUCAGUUAAUUACUCAGAAGGAUGAAAGAACUGUAGAUCAGAGUAUCAGAAACUGCUUCGUUCUGGAGGUGAUACAAAUGUACACAUGCAUACAAGAGUUAAAAAAGAGUGUAGAGGAAAUGAAAUAUCCAAGAGAAAUUGCACUUCUUUUACUAUCCAAAAUAGCCUGCAAAAUUGGAGCUAGUGCAGAAGAGGGUUGACGCAAUGUAGGUGAGAUUUGUAUGUUAGCAUAGACUAGUUUGAGUAAAGAAACAUGGAAUACAUUAUGUAUUUGUGGGUCUGCAAAAAGCUUCGGCUUGUAGGUUAUAGCACCAGUGGUAUCUUCAAUUUGCAAUGGACCAAAGUCUACCUUAGUGCAUGGAAACUUGUGGAAUUGCCUCUUAGACUAAUUCUUGUCUGUCAAAAUUUUCAUUCCUUUCUGAGCCUUUUGAAGAUGGUGCGUGGUAACUUAGAGUAGCUUCUGUUGUUUUGAGAAAUGUGUUUAUUGCCUCAACCUUUGAAUAAUUAGGAAAAUAAGGUACAUGGAUUGGUGGUGCGUAACCAUAGGGAACUCUAAGAGGAGACAUCUUAAUACCAGUGUGAUGACAACAUUCCCUUUGCCCUUUUA